rnacentral:snRNA from 1 species
GUGUUCGCUGUGGUAGCACAUGUAGUAAAAUUAGAAUGACGCAGAGAAGAUUAGCGUGACCCCUGUGCAAGGAUGACGCACAAAUUCAUGAAGCACUGAAAAUAAAA